UCAGUAGUAAAAUAGAAAAAAUUGCAAACAUCGAAAAACGUUUUUUGACCAAUUUCGACGUGAAUCUGUAUAACUUUAACCAAGACCACUUACGGAACCGGAUGUCACGUGAUCAUGAUGACGCUACUUUCAUUCUGUAUUUGUAUGGCGGCAAACGGCAUGGCAACUUUGUGAAAGAAACAUCGCCAUUGAUAAGUUGGAUUCAGCAUAUUGAAACAUCAUUUUGCACUACAAUUUAAAUUUGUUACCUAGUUAGUGUUUGAAAAAUCUGCAGGAAAGUUAGUUUUGGGAUAUACUCAACAAGCAAUAAUGUUGCUGCAGACCCGGACAAAAAUGCUGGUGCUCCCUAUGCUAUUUCAAUACGUGAAAACAAGAUUUGGUUAAGUAUUCUGAAGACUUCAGUGUGGAAAGGAUUGAGUGCUGCGAACAAUCCCAAUUCUCCAUGGUGAAUGGAUGAUUAGAUUUUGUUGCUCCGGUCUUUACCUUAGUGUGUUUAAUUGACUUCAUAUAUUUACAGCUGAUGCAGUGUUUCCUGUAUAUACUAUGUAAA